rnacentral:rRNA from 1 species
UACGAAGGGGGCUAGCGUUGUUCAGAAUUACUGGGCGUAAAGCGCGCGCAGGCGGUCUUCCAAGUCAGUGGUGAAAGCCCGGAGCUCAACUCCGGAACUGCCAUUGAAACUGUGAGACUUGAGUAUGAGAGAGGUGAGUGGAAUUCCCAAUGUAGAGGUGAAAUUCGUAGAUAUUGGGAAGAACACCGGUGGCGAAGGCGGCUCACUGGCUCAUUACUGACGCUCAGGCGCGACAGCGUGGGGAUCAAACAGG